rnacentral:lncRNA from 1 species
AAUGGGAAGUCAGAUUGUGUUCUGCUGAAGAGUGUCCAUGGGCUGAAGGCUUUUGAAAUCAAAUCACAGUAGAAUUGCCUGAAGGAAGUGAGAGUGUAUAGCCUGAUGCCGAGAAGAAAAAGCCUGGGGGUAACAUACAGAGUGAGAACUGACAGCUCUUUUUAAGUCUUUCAAGGGCCAUCAUGUGGAAGAUGGAGAGGCCCAGCAAGCAGAUUUGAGAGAUUGUGCUCUGUACUUGUGCAAUCUAAUUGUGUCCUGUUAGAAAGGAGAUGUCCUGGGAAACUCAGAUUAAGAGGACAGAAGCCCAAAACUAAGCUGUACAGUCAAAAACGUCUAGCUGUUUCUUGUAGCAGAUUGUGCCAGUAAGCGUCACUGAAGAGUAAUUUCAAGGGCUGGUGAAAAUAUAAGAUAAAACACUGAUUACAGGAUGACAGGUUUUCUCUGCUCAACAAUCUUUGAAUUAUUCAGAAAACUUUGCUUCCAGAGUGGUAUAUUAAUAAUACACCUAAGCAAAUAUUUUGUUGCUUAAGCUGAAAGGCAUUUUCUCCUUGAAGGGAAAGCUUCUGAAGAUGGCAGUAGAUUAACAUACCCAAAUAUCUUGAUAUCCUCAAUAGGAAGAAAGUCAAGUUAAGUUUCCUGAUCUAAAGAGUCCAGGAAAUUAAAUUCUCUCUAUGUUCUGUUUCUGAAGUACUGCAGAAACUGCUCAAGAUGGAAGGAUACCAGAGAAGAAAAACAUUGCUCAAUGUUUAAAACUUAUUUUAUUUUUUGAAAAAAGAAACAUAAUAACUUAGUCCAAAAUCAAACAACAUAAAAAGUAUACAUUGAAAAGUUUAUCCUCACCCUAUCUACUUCCAGCAAUUUCCUUCCAAUUCUAUCUGUAGUAUUUUUUCAUUUUUCUUCUUGUUUUUUUUAAAUAAAAUAAAAUAAAAUAAUAA